GAUGAAAAAAAAAAAAAAAAAAAAAAAAAAAAAAAAAAAAAAAAAAA
rnacentral:ribozyme from 13 species